UAUUUUGAGAUCCCAUUCUACAGGGCUUCUCUCCCUUUCCCCCAAGGUCAUGGCCAAGUUCCAGGGGUUCGUGUCGUGCCAAGAUGAUUGCGGGGAGUAGGCGUAGAACACAGCCGAUUCCUGGUUCCAUCCAUGUGGUAAUCCAGAAUGGUCCUAGAAGAAGCAAAAGAAAAUAAAAUCACUCAUUUCACCACCACCGUCUCUCCAUCGAGAUGAGCACCAUCCACAUUUCAGCAUAUUCCCUCCAGCUAUUUUUCUGUGUCCAAUUUUCACGUGUGUUUUAAUAUUCAUGAAUUGUUUACAGGG